rnacentral:rRNA from 1 species
CAAUAGCGUAUAUUAAAGUUGUUGCAGUUAAAAAGCUCGUAGUCGAACUUCGGGCCUGGCCGGGCGGUCUGCCUAACGGUAUGUACUGUCUGGCUGGGCCUUACCUCUUGGUGAGCCGGCAUGCCCUUAACUGGGUGUGUCGGUGAACCAGGACUUUUACCUUGAGAAAAUUAGAGUGUUCAAAGCAGGCCUAUGCUCGAAUACAUUAGCAUGGAAUAAUAAAAUAGGACGUGUGCUUCUAUUUUGUUGGUUUCUAGAGUCACCGUAAUGAUUAAUAGGGAUAGUUGGGGGCAUUAGUAUUCAGUUGCUAGAGGUGAAAUUCUUGGAUUUACUGAAGACUAACUUCUGCGAAAGCAUUUGCCAAGGAUGUUUUCAUUG